rnacentral:rRNA from 1 species
CUACGGGAGGCUCCAGUGGGGAAUAUUGGACAAUGGGGGAAACCCUGAUCCAGCAAUGCCGCGUGUGUGAAGAAGGCCUGCGGGUUGUAAAGCACUUUCGGUUGGGAGGACUGCUUCUAGCGCUAAUAUUGUUGGAAGUUGACGUUACCUUCAGAAGAAGCACCGGCUAACUCCGUGCCAGCAGCCGCGGUGAAUACGGAGGGUGCAAGCGUUAAUCGGAAUUACUGGGCGUAAAGCGCGCGUAGGCGGCUAGAUCAGUCGGGUGUGAAAGCCCCGGGCUUAACCUGGGAACUGCAUCCGAUACUGUCUAGCUUGAGUACAGGAGAGGAGAGUGGAAUUCCACAUGUAGCGGUGAAAUGCGUAGAUAUGUGGAGGAACACCAAUGGCGAAGGCAGCUCUCUGGCCUGAUACUGACGCUGAGGUGCGAAAGCGUGGGGAGCAAACAGGAUUAGAUACCCCGGUAGUC